rnacentral:rRNA from 1 species
AGGGGUAACUGGAAUUCCUGGUGUAGCGGUGAAAUGCGCAGAUAUCAGGAGGAACACCGAUGGCGAAGGCAGGUUACUGGGCAGUUACUGACGCUGAGGAGCGAAAGCAUGGGUAGCGAACAGGAUUAGAUACCCUGGUAGUCCAUGCCGUAAACGGUGGGCGCUAGGUGUGAGGGUCUUUUCACGACUUUAGUGCCGUAGCUAACGCAUUAAGCGCCCCGCCUGGGGAGUACGGCCGCAAGGCUAAAACUCAAAGGAAUUGACGGGGGCCCGCACAAGCGGCGGAGCAUGUGGAUUAAUUCGAUGCAACGCGAAGAACCUUACCUGGGCUUGACAUACACCGGAUCGGGCUAGAGAUAGUCUUUCCCUUUGUGGCUGGUGUACAGGUGGUGCAUGGUUGUCGUCAGCUCGUGUCGUGAGAUGUUGGGUUAAGUCCCGCAACGAGCGCAACCCUUGUCUUAUGUUGCCAGCAUUUGGUUGGGGACUCAUGAGAGACUGCCGGGGUCAACUCGGAGGAAGGUGGGGAUGACGUCAAAUCAUCAUGCCCCUUAUGUCCAGGGCUUCACACAUGCUACAAUGGUCGGUACAACGCGCAGCGACACUGUGAGGUGGAGCGAAUCGCUGAAAGCCGGCCUUAGUUCGGAUUGGGGUCUGCAACUCGACCCCAUGAAGUCGGAGUCGCUAGUAAUCGCAGAUCAGCAACGCUGCGGUGAAUACGUUCCCGGGCCUUGUACACACCGCCCGUCACGUCAUGAAAGUUGGUAACACCCGAAGCCGGUGGCCCAAACUUGUUAGGGAGCCGUCGAAGGUGGGAUCGGCGAUUGGGACGAAGUCGUAACAAGGUACCCGUACCGGAAGGUGCGGGUG